UACAGAGGUCUCAAGCGUUGUUCGGAUUCAUUGGGCGUAAAGGGUGCGUAGGUGGCGCUGUAAGUCGGGUGUGAAAUUUCGGAGCUUAACUCCGAAACUGCAUUCGAUACUGCGGUGCUUGAGGACUGGAGAGGAGACUGGAAUUCAUGGUGUAGCAGUGAAAUGCGUAGAUAUCGUGAGGAACACCAGAGGCGAAGGCGUCUACCUGGACAAGUGCUGACGCUCAGGCACGAAAGCGUGGGGAGCAAAAGGG
rnacentral:rRNA from 1 species